AUUGAACGCUGGCGGCAUGCUUUACACAUGCAAGUCGAACGCGAAAGGGGGCAACCCUGAGUAGAGUGGCGCACGGGUGAGUAAUACAUCGGAACGUGUCCUGUAAUGGGGGAUAACGCAGCGAAAGCUGUGCUAAUACCGCAUACGUCCUACGGGAGAAAGCGGGGGAUCGCAAGACCUCGCGUUAUAGGAGCGGCCGAUGCCGGAUUAGCUAGUUGGUGGGGUAAAGGCCUACCAAGGCAACGAUCCGUAGCUGGUCUGAGAGGAUGAUCAGCCACACUGGGACUGAGACACGGCCCAGACUCCUACGGGAGGCAGCAGUGGGGAAUUUUGGACAAUGGGCGCAAGCCUGAUCCAGCCAUGCCGCGUGAGUGAAGAAGGCC
rnacentral:rRNA from 1 species